GCGUUUGUAGCUCAACGGAUAGAGCAUUGGUCUUCUACACCAACGGUUGCGGGUUCAAAUCCUGUCAGACGCGCCA
rnacentral:tRNA from 1 species